CAGUAGCCACGGUAAUACGAAGGGGGCUAGCGUUGUUCGGAAUUACUGGGCGUAAAGCGCACGUAGGCGGAUAUUUAAGUCAGGGGUGAAAUCCCAGAGCUCAACUCUGGAACUGCCUUUGAUACUGGGUAUCUUGAGUAUGGAAGAGGUGAGUGGAAUUCCGAGUGUAGAGGUGAAAUUCGUAGAUAUUCGGAGGAACACCAGUGGCGAAGGCGGCUCACUGGUCCAUUACUGACGCUGAGGUGCGAAAGCGUGGGGAGCAAACAGGAUUAGAUACCCGGUAGUCCCUGUCUCUUAUACA
rnacentral:rRNA from 1 species